rnacentral:tRNA from 1 species
ACUAUUUUGGCAGAGAAGUGUAAUGGUUUUAGAAAUCACAAAUAUAUAAUUUAAUUAUAUAAAUAGUA